rnacentral:rRNA from 2 species
GGCGAACGGGUGAGUAACACGUGAGCAACCUGCCCCUGGCUCUGGGACAACCACUGGAAACGGUGGCUAAUACCGGAUACGACUCGCUCGGGCAUCCGAUGCGGGUGGAAAGUUUUUCGGCUGGGGAUGGGCUCGCGGCCUAUCAGCUUGUUGGUGGGGUGAUGGCCCACCCACAGGCGACGACGGGUAGCCGGCCUGAGAGGGCGACCGGCCACACUGGGACUGAGACACGGCCCAGACUCCUACGGGAGGCAGCAGUGGGGAAUAUUGCACAAUGGGCGCAAGCCUGAUGCAGCGACGCCGCGUGAGGGAUGACGGCCUUCGGGUUGUAAACCUCUUUCAGCAGGGAAGAAGCCGCGCUCCGGUGCGGUGACGGUACCUGCAGAAGAAGCACCGGCUAACUACGUGCCAGCAGCCGCGGUAAUACGUAGGGUGCAAGCGUUGUCCCGGAAUUAUUGGGCGUAAAGAGCUCGUAGGCGGUGUGUCGCGUCUGCUGUGAAAACUCAGGGCUCAACUCUGAGCUUGCAGUGGGUACGGGCACACUUGAGUGCGGUAGGGGAGACUGGAAUUCCUGGUGUAGCGGUGAAAUGCGCAGAUAUCAGGAGGAACACCGGUGGCGAAGGCGGGUCUCUGGGCCGUAACUGACGCUGAGGAGCGAAAGCAUGGGGAGCGAACAGGAUUAGAUACCCUGGUAGUCCAUGCCGUAAACGUUGGGCGCUAGGUGUGGGGUCCAUUCCACGGACUCCGUGCCGCAGCUAACGCAUUAAGCGCCCCGCCUGGGGAGUACGGCCGCAAGGCUAAAACUCAAAGGAAUUGACGGGGGCCCGCACAAGCGGCGGAGCAUGCGGAUUAAUUCGAUGCAACGCGAAGAACCUUACCAAGGCUUGACAUGCGCGGUGGCGCUCCAGAGAUGGAGCUUCAUUUAGUUGGUCGCGCACAGGUGGUGCAUGGUUGUCGUCAGCUCGUGUCGUGAGAUGUUGGGUUAAGUCCCCGCAACGAGCGCAACCCUCGUUCCAUGUUGCCAGCAAUUCGGUUGGGGACUCAUGGGAGACUGCCGGGGUCAACUCGGAGGAAGGUGGGGAUGACGUCAAAUCAUCAUGCCCCUUAUGUUCUUGGCGCUUCACGCAUGCUACAAUGGCCAGUACCAGAGGGCUGCGACUACCGGUUGAGGGUUGGAGCGACAUCCCAAAAAGCUGGUCUCAGUUCGGAUCGGGGUCUGCAACUCGACCCCGUGAAGUCGGAGUCGCUAGUAAUCGCAGAUCAGCAACGCUGCGGUGAAUACGUUCCCGGGCCUUGUACACACCGCCCGUCACGUCAUGAAAGUCGGUAACACCCGAAGCCGGUGGCCCAACCCGUACGGGGGGGAGCUGUCGAA